rnacentral:rRNA from 1 species
UACGUAGGGGGCAAGCGUUGUCCGGAAUCAUUGGGCGUAAAGAGCGUGUAGGCGGCCCGAUAAGUCCGCUGUGAAAGUCCAGGGCUCAACCCUGGAAUGCCAGUGGAAACUGUCGGGCUAGAGUCCGGAAGAGGCGAGUGGAAUUCCUGGUGUAGCGGUGAAAUGCGCAGAUAUCAGGAGGAACACCAAUGGCGAAGGCAGGUCUCUGGGCCAUAACUGACGCUGAGAAGCGAAAGCAUGGGGAGCGAACAGG